rnacentral:rRNA from 1 species
CCUACGGGAGGCUGCAGUGGGGAAUAUUGCACAAUGGGCGCAGGCCUGAUGCAGCCAUGCCGCGUGUGUGAAGAAGGCCUUCGGGUUGUAAAGCACUUUCAGCGGGGAGGAAGGCGGUGAGGUUAAUAACCUCAUCGAUUGACGUUACCCGCAGAAGAAGCACCGGCUAACUCCGUGCCAGCAGCCGCGGUAAUACGGAGGGUGCAAGCGUUAAUCGGAAUUACUGGGCGUAAAGCGCACGCAGGCGGUCUGUCAAGUCGGAUGUGAAAUCCCCGGGCUCAACCUGGGAACUGCAUUCGAAACUGGCAGGCUAGAGUCUUGUAGAGAGGGGUAGAAUUCCAGGUGUAGCGGUGAAAUGCGUAGAGAUCUGGAGGAAUACCGGUGGCGAAGGCGGCCCCCCGGACAAAGACUGACGCUCAGGUGCGAAAGCGUGGGGAGCAAACAGGAUUAGAUACCCUUGUAGUC